rnacentral:rRNA from 1 species
UACGUAGGUGGCAAGCGUUGUCCGGAUUUACUGGGCGUAAAGAGCGCGCAGGCGGUCGUUCAAGUCGCGUGUGAAAGCCCCCGGCUCAACUGGGGAGGGUCACGCGAUACUGAUCGACUCGAAGGCAGGAGAGGGUAGUGGAAUUCCCGGUGUAGCGGUGAAAUGCGCAGAUAUCGGGAGGAACACCAGUAGCGAAGGCGGCACUCUGGGCCGGUACUGACGCUGAGGAGCGAAAGCGUGGGGAGCGAACAGG